UACGUAGGGUGCAAGCGUUGUCCGGAAUUAUUGGGCGUAAAGAGCUCGUAGGCGGUUCGUCGCGUCGGCUGUGAAAUCCCGAGGCUCAACCUCGGGUCUGCAGUCGAUACGGGCGGACUGGAGUUCGGCAGGGGAGACUGGAAUUCCUGGUGUAGCGGUGAGAUGCGCAGAUAUCAGGAGGAACACCGGUGGCGAAGGCGGGUCUCUGGGCCGAUACUGACGCUGAGGAGCGAAAGCGUGGGGAGCGAACAGG
rnacentral:rRNA from 1 species